GACGAACGCUGGCGGCGUGCCUAAUACAUGCCAGUAGAACGAACCGUUUAUACCUUAGCUUGCUACACUAUAGACUGUGAGUUGCGAACGGGUGAGUAACGCGUAGGUAACCUGCCUGGUAGCGGGGGAUCACUAUUGGACACGAUAGCUAAUACCGCAUAAUAUUAAUUAUUGCAUGAUUAUUUAUUGUAAGUUGCAAUUGAAACACUACCCGAUGGACCUGCGUUGUAUUAGCUAGUAGGUGAGGUAACGGCUCACCUAGGCGACGAUACAUAGCCGACCUGAGAGGGGGAGCGGCCACACUGGGACGGGGACACGGCCCAGACUCCUACGAGAGGCAGCAGUAGGGAAUCUCCAGGAAUGGACGAAAGUCGGACCGAGCAACGCCGCGUGAGUGAAGAAGGUUUUCGGAUCGUAAAGCUCAGGUAUAAGAUAAGAACGGGUGGGAGAGUGGAAAGUGCUCACUGUGACGGUAUCGUACCAGAAAGGGACGGCUAACUACGUG
rnacentral:rRNA from 1 species